GGAGGGCAGCUACACAUGCAAGUCGAACGGUAACAGGGUUAGCUUGCUAAUCGCUGACGAGUGGCGGACGGGUGAGUAAUACUUAGGGAUCUGCCUUCUGGAGGGGGAUAACCAUUGGAAACGAUGGCUAAUACCGCAUAAUGUCUACGGACCAAAGGGGGCUCCGGCUCUCACCAGAAGAGGAACCUAAGCGAGAUUAGCUAGUUGGUGAGGUAAAGGCUCACCAAGGCGACGAUCUCUAGCUGUUCUGAGAGGAAGAUCAGCCACACUGGGACUGAGACACGGCCCAGACUCCUACGGGAGGCAGCAGUGGGGAAUAUUGCACAAUGGGGGAAACCCUGAUGCAGCCAUGCCGCGUGUGUGAAGAAGGCCUUCGGGUUGUAAAGCACUUUCAGUGGGGAGGAAAGGUUAAUGGUUAAUACCCAUUAGCUGUGACGUUACCCACAGAAGAAGCACCGGCUAACUCCGUGCCAGCAGCCGCGGUAAUACGGAGGGUGCGAGCGUUAAUCGGAAUUACUGGGCGUAAAGCGCACGCAGGCGGAUUGUUAAGCUAGAGGUGAAAGCCCCGCGCUCAACGUGGGAAUUGCCUUUAGAACUGGCAGUCUAGAGUCUUGGAGAGGGGAGUGGAAUUCCAGGUGUAGCGGUGAAAUGCGUAGAGAUCUGGAGGAACAUCAGUGGCGAAGGCGACUCCCUGGCCAAAGACUGACGCUCAUGUGCGAAAGUGUGGGUAGCGAACAGGAUUAGAUACCCUGGUAGUCCACACCGUAAACGCUGUCUACUAGCUGUUUGUGUAUUUAAUACGUGAGUAGCGAAGCUAACGCGCUAAGUAGACCGCCUGGGGAGUACGGCCGCAAGGUUAAAACUCAAAUGAAUUGACGGGGGCCCGCACAAGCGGUGGAGCAUGUGGUUUAAUUCGAUGCAACGCGAAGAACCUUACCUACACUUGACAUCCAGAGAACUUACCAGAGAUGGUUUGGUGCCUUCGGGAACUCUGAGACAGGUGCUGCAUGGCUGUCGUCAGCUCGUGUCGUGAGAUGUUGGGUUAAGUCCCGCAACGAGCGCAACCCUUGUCCUUAGUUGCCAGCAUUUAGUUGGGCACCCCUA
rnacentral:rRNA from 1 species